rnacentral:lncRNA from 1 species
CUUUUCCACUUCCGGCCGGGGGCUCACCGGACCGCUCGCUCGCCUAAUUUUCAAAGCUGACUUUUUCCUCUGUGCUAAUUUUAAGUAUUUCGUUUGAUCUCAGUUAUAAACGCUCCUUCUUCAGUUCCUUAGAGUUAGAAUUUUGAGAAAUUUUGGGUGGCCUAUGCGUGAGGUUUAGUCGGAUAGGUUCGUGUCCUGCGUUCAAGUCUCUGUGAACGGGAGGGUUUUUCCAAAGUGUUUUCGAGACGAUUUUUGGUUCGGUCUGUUUACGCAGUGAAGGAUUUUUGAUCAUAUGAGCUUCAAAAGGCGUGAAUAAUGAUAAGCUUGGUUCGGACGUUUUUUAUUGUUCAUUUUACAUCACAUUAUGUUCGGCUGUCCCAUCCAGAAGCAGACAUCGAGUGGAAAGAGCACUAUACGGAAAUCUGAGACGGAACUUCAACUGCGACUCGGAGGGCUUCCACUCGGAUCCAGAUGAUUGUACGACGUUCUACCGUUGCAUAGACUGGAGCAAGACCGACGCAAAUGCUCCCAGGAACCGAUUUACCUCAUUCCAGUUCCAGUGUGGCCCUGGCACAGUUUUUGAACCGGAGAACGAGAGUUGCGUCCACCCACAAUUAUCCUCCCGGGACGAGUGUCGACAGUUACCCCGCCAAUCGAAGCCGAGCCGGAGCCCGAUAACUGGGGAAGUCAGUCCGAACCCAGGGACCACCCCAGUCCCAGUACGGUGCUCCAUCGAACAACGACUACUACGGAAACCCAUCGAACCAGCAGGGAUCUUCGAAUUACGGUCCCUCGAACUACGGAGAAGUCCCUUCGUCCCCAGGAUCAGAGCCGAGCAACAAUGUUGAUAAUUUAGAGGAAG